AUGAGUCAAAGUAGUGUUAAAAAUAUAGGUGGUUUGCCAAUAGAUGAACUUAAUAAAUAUUAUUGGAAAAGAAAAAGGAAAGAUUAUUUAAUGAAUGUUAAAGCUAAUAAUAUGUUACUUAAUCGAAAAAGGUUUAGAUCUAGACAAAAAGAUGAUACGCACAGUAUUAAAAAUGGGAAAAAUAAUAUUUUUAUUAAAAAUGGGGAAAAUAAUAUUUUUAUUAAAAAUGGGAAAAAUAAUAUUUUUAUUAAAAAUGAGAAAAAUAAUAUUACUGAUAAUACUGAUUUGGAUUCAAAUAAUAAGAAUGUCGUAGAAAGAUCUACUUAUGAUGAUAUCACAAUAAUACAAUCAAAAGAGAUGGUUCUGUUAUCGAACAAUACUAAUGAAAAUUCUAAAAGUACGAAAUCGUAUAAACCAAUAAAAGAAGGGUUGCAUAUGGAUUUUUUUUUUAAAGAUAGCUGUGACACAGAAGAAGGUAAAAACCAUAAUAUAUAUGGUACAACUACUGAUUCUGUUACUAAUCAGAAUAAUAAAGUAUACUAUAGUGAAGAGAGUGAUGAUUAUUAUUAUUAUAAUAAAUUUAAAAAUUUUGAUUAUGUAAUGAAUAUUACUGCUGAUAACAAAAGAGAAAUAAUACUUAAUAGAAUUAACAUUGAAUAUUAUAAUAUAAAAUUAAAUAUAUUAAUUUUAUCAUGUAUAAUUAUUCAAUUUUUGAAUUCUCUAAUAUUAAUUUCAAUAUCACACCAUUUUAUAAAAACAAAAGAGAAAAUAUAUUUUUAUUGUUUUUUAUAUUCGUUAUUAGAAUGUAUAACUGAUGUUAUUUCGGAUAAUAUAUUUUUUUUAUGUGGUAAAUUUACUAAUAUAUAUAAAAAAGAAUUUAGUAUCAAUUCUGUUUAUAUUAUACAAGUGAUAAGUAAAAUGAUAUUAAGUAUGUCAACUGUGUUUAUUUAUUUUAUUCAUAAUAUAUUAGUUACAUUUUUUGAAGAUACAAAUAUAAUUAUUGUUAAUACAUUUAUUAAAAUUUUAUCUAUUUUUAUUCUUUUAUUUAUUUUUAUAAAAAAUAAAAAUAAUCUUUUCGAUUCUCAUACUUAUGAAACGUUUGAAAAUAUGUAUGACUUCGAUCACAUUAAUAAUGAAAACAAAAAUGAUAAGUCAGACAUUGACACGUUUGUUAAAUAUUCUCCUUUUCGUGGUGUUACUACUACAAGUAAAAAGGAUUUAAAGGGGGAAGAAGAAGAACAACAAGAUCAGAAAAAACGAAAAACUAAUAACGACGUUAUAAGUGAAAAAACAGCUAAUAUUGUAAUGAAAUAUAAUAAACAAAUUAAAGACAUAAACAAAAAUGAAAAUUAUGACAAAGUUGAACAUUAUAACACAUUUUACAAAGAUUUAAAACAAAGCCCUGAUUUUUUUAAAAAUACAAACGCAUAUAGCACUAUUUAUUUAAAUAAUUAUGAUAAGCAAACAAAUUUGUUUGGUAAUAAUAGUGAUAGUUAUAGUGACACUAACAAUAGAACUUUUAGCAGCCACCUUAUUAGCAAUAAUAAUAGUAGUACCAAAACAAAACUAUGUUUAACAACUGACUCCAAUGAGAAAACAAAAUACGUUAACUUAAAAUUUGAUAAAUUUAAAUGGACAUCUACAUAUUGUAACCUUUUAAAAUUAGUAAAUAAGAUAAAAUACUUUUUUAAUAAAAAGAACAAUAAUAAUUAUGAUUAUAAUUAUAAAAUAAGAAAUUGUUAUGAUCAUAACUAUGGUUAUAACUAUAGUAAACAAUUUCCAUUAUCAGAUAGCCGAUAUACAUUAUUAGCUACACAAGAAUAUGAAUCUUUUACUACUGAACAUAGGCGUAAUGAUUAUAAUUAUAGUCCAAAUAUAUAUCGAAAUAAGAAAUCAGGUUUUAUACAAUCUGUUAAAAACUUUUUUAAAAAUAAAAUAAAUUUUAGUUCUUGGUUAGCAGACCCAAUUUUAAUGCAAUAUAAUUCAUUAAUUGAAAAAGAAAUGAAAUAUAUUAAAAAAGAAAAAAAAAGAAAAAUUCAUAAAAAUAAAUACCAAAAAAUAAAAGAUGAUAUAACAGAUGAUAUAACAGAUAAUAUAACAGAUAAUGUGUAUGCAAUAGAUGACAUAAGUGAAUAUGAUAGUAUAUCAAAGCAAACAAAACAUAAAACAAAAAAAAAAAAAGAAAAAAAAAAAACCAAAAAAAAAAAUGAUAAAAUAAAAAACCAAAAAAAAAAAAAAAUUACUUUUACAUAUCCUAUUAAAUUAUUAUUAAAUAAUUUAAAUUUUCCCAAUAUUUUUUAUAUCUGUUUAUUAUUAAUUAUUCCUACUUUUGAAAGAAUUUUUUUAACUUAUAAAAUUAAAAAUAUAAAACUUAAGUUCCAAUCCUUUUGCUAUUUAAAUAUAGUAAGUCACAUAACCGAUAUAAUCGGCUUGUAUUUUUAUAUUUCCAAUUUUACUGAUGAUUCUUAUACCACUUCCAUUUUAUUCAGUACAUUUAUUAGUAUUAUACUAAUGUCCUUAAGGAUUAUUUUUUUCCUUAAAAAGCUGAAUUAUAUUGGCUUCUUGGUAAAGCAGAUAAUAUGAUAAAAAUAAAAUACCAUUUUAAUGCGUUAAAUAGAUGUCA
rnacentral:lncRNA from 1 species